CAUAGUAUACUUGUCAUUGGUUUUCCAGCAGCUCGUCCCCUGCCACGUAGAACUAUGAAGGACGAGCGGGUUUCUAAAGUAACUUGAGCCUUGAUUUGAUAGGACCUUUGUGGGAGACCAGUUGGUCCAAACUAACUCCGUGUCCCUCUGACUUCAACUGUAAGAGAACUUUCCAUACCGUUCUCACUUAUUGAACCGUCAGCAGUGCUUUGUCUUUGCUGCAGCUCAUCUUCACAAACUUAUUCUAUCUAUCACGAAGAGCCACUGGAAUCGGCAGCUUAAUGUUCACAGACAUCCUGAGCAGGUGAUGCUGGGGAGAAACACAAUUUCCUCUUUGAGGCUUGGGGUUUUGAAGAGGGGAGCUCAUCAUCAGACGUUCUCGGAUCAAACAUGAAAUUCACAGUGCUGUUGGCCAAGAUCCUUUUACAUGUCUCAUCUUUGGAAGGCAUCUAAUGAACCUCCCUCUUCCUGGGUGUAUGCAUUUUGGGGCUCCUCCGUUAGCUCAUCAAGAUCUGUAUACCCAUACGCAGACAGAGGAGAAAGAAGAGAGGCAAGCGUGCCGGUAUCCUGUGUAGAUCUUGGACGAGAUACUCCAAUCCCCCGCUGCCAAGCAUUCUACAUGCGAAUGUUCAAUCCCUGGACAAUAUAAUGGACAAGCUAAAUGCACGGACUUACUUCCAGCGGGACAUCACAAACUGCUUUGUGCUAGCGUUCACUGAGACCUGGCUGGAUCCUAUGGUGCCUGACUCGGCCAUCACUCUGGCCGUUUUUUCCAUCUUCCGGCAGGACAGAACCUCCGAGUCGAGUAAGAGUAGAGGUGGAGGGGUAUGCUUGAUGGUUAACUCUCGCUGGGGCUCGUAUGUUGCUGUGCUUUCAGCACACUGCUCACCAGACCUGGAGCUGCUAUCGUUAAAAGCCCGUCCCUUUUACCUUCCUCGGGAAUUCAGCUCCGUUAAUAUCACAGCAGUCUACCGCAGGCAGACAAAACCUCCCCGAUAGAGGUCCUAUACAGAGUUAAUAAUGGACUGGAGGAUGCUCAUCCUGAGGCAGUCUCUAUUGUUGUUGGUGACUUCAAUGGUGCUAAUAAUUUGAGGAAAGUUCUGCCGAAAUAUCAUCAACAUAUUAACUUUCCUACCCGGGGUGACCAGAAUCUUGACUAUUGCUACUCGAAAUACCGAACAGCUACAAACCCCUUCUCAUACUGCUGUCGUCUGGUAGACGUUACCUGAGCAUCCGAGCACGGACUACCAGACUCACAAACAGCUUUUUCCCCCAGGCCGUAAGGCUUCUGAACCAGCAACACUAACCAACUGUAGAGUCGCCAUCACCAUGUACAUUCUGCUCCCCCACUCAUACAACUAUACUUACUACUUACGUACUACACAUAUAUGCAUAUUAUUUAGUUUAAUAUUCCUCACUCCUUCGCCCUGUAAACUGCUGCUAGCCCUUUAUUUAAAUGUAAAUUGUUUUACUAUGAUAUAUAUUACUAUGCUUUAUGGUUGUUUUUUUUAUCUUGUAUUGCCUGUCUACUGCGUAGAAGUUGCCUGCCAGGUCAUUCGAAUUUCACUGGUCUGAUGACGCUAAAUUAUUUGGUGCAUGUGACAAUAAACACUUUGAUUUGAUUUUGAUUUGACUCAAGAAUGACGAAUUUGGCUGGUUAUGUGAUCUCAUGGUUUAACACACACUUCCUCAUAAAACAUGUGUCAUCAUGAGGCUUUAAUGGGUAAUUUGUGUAGUUAAGUGACUGUUUAGUGAAUCUGACUUAAAACACGAGUACGGAAAAUGUAACAAAAGUCUGAGUUAAGGAGAAGAAUAUGAAGAUGUGUACCUAUGAUGCACAGCUGCUUAUAACAUGGCUUGAAAGCUGGCUCAUUAUAAUUAGUUUCU